rnacentral:rRNA from 1 species
AUACGGAGGAUGCGAGCGUUAUCCGGAUUUAUUGGGUUUAAAGGGUGCGCAGGCGGGCGAUUAAGUCAGCGGUGAAAGGCUCGGGCUCAACCGGAGCAGUGCCGUUGAUACUGGUUGUCUUGAAUGCGGUCAAGGCCGGCGGAAUGUGGCGUGUAGCGGUGAAAUGCAUAGAUAUGCCAAAGAACACCGAUAGCGAAGGCAGCUGGCCGGGCCUGCAUUGACGCUCAGGCACGAAAGCGUGGGGAUCGAACAGGAUUAGAUACCCUGGUAGUCCACGCUGUAAACGAUGGACACUCGUUGUCGGCGACAGACAGUCGGCGGCCAAGCGAAAGUGAUAAGUGUCCCACCUGGGGAGUACGGUCGCAAGGCUGAAACUCAAAUGAAUUGACGGGG